GAAUCGCAUGGCCUUGCGCCGGCGAUGGUUCAUUCAAAUUUCUGCCCUAUCAACUUUCGAUGGUAGGAUAGUGGCCUACCAUGGUGGCGACGGGUAACGGGGAAUUAGGGUUCGAUUCCGGAGAGGGAGCCUGAGAAACGGCUACCACAUCCAAGGAAAGCAGCAGGCGCGCAAAUUACCCAAUCCCGAUACGGGGAGGUAGUGACAAUAAAUACUGGUACAGGGCUCUUUUGGGUCUUGUAAUUGGAAUGAGAACAAUCUAAAUCCCUUAACGAGGAACAAUUGGAGGGCAAGUCUGGUGCCAGCAGCCGCGGUAAUUCCAGCUCCAAUAGCGUAUAUUAAAGUUGUUGCAGUUAAAAAGCUCGUAGUUGAACCUUGGGCCCGUCCUGCCGGUCCGCCUCACCGCGAGUACUGGUCCGGAUGGGCCUUUCUUUCUGGGGAAUCCCAUGGCCUUCACUGGCUGUGGCGGGGAACCAGGACUUUUACUGUGAAAAAAUUAGAGUGUUCAAAGCAGGCCUUUGCUCGGAUACAUUAGCAUGGAAUAAUAGAAUAGGACGUGCGGUUCUAUUUUGUUGGUUUCUAGGACCGCCGUAAUGAUUAAUAGGGAUAGUCGGGGGCGUCAGUAUUCAGCUGUCAGAGGUGAAAUUCUUGGAUUUGCUGAAGACUAACUACUGCGAAAGCAUUCGCCAAGGAUGUUUUCAUUAAUCAGGGAACGAAAGUUAGGGGAUCGAAGACGAUCAGAUACCGUCGUAGUCUUAACCAUAAACUAUGCCGACUAGGGAUCGGGCGGGGUUUCUAUGAUGACCCGCUCGGCACCUUACGAGAAAUCAAAGUUUUUGGGUUCUGGGGGGAGUAUGGUCGCACGGCUGAAACUUAAAGAAAUUGACGGAAGGGCACCACAAGGCGUGGAGCCUGCGG
rnacentral:rRNA from 1 species